CAGGACCUAACACAUGCAAGUCGAACGGUGGCAGCAAUGUCAAAGUGGCGCACGGGUGCGUAACACGUAACUAACCUGCCCAAGACUGGGGGAUAGCCCGCCGAAAGGCGGAUUAAUACCGCAUAAUAUCUUUUACUGGCAUCAGUGAUUGAUUAAACCUGAGGGGGUCUUGGAUGGGGUUGCGGGUCAUUAGCUAGUUGGUACGGUAACGGCGUACCAAGGCGACGAUGACUAGGGGAGCUGAGAGGCUGGUCCCCCACACGGGCACUGAGAUACGGGCCCGACUCCUACGGGAGGCAGCAGUGGGGAAUAUUGGACAAUGGGCGCAAGCCUGAUCCAGCCAUGCCGCGUGAGUGAUGACGGCCCUAGGGUUGUAAAGCUCUUUUACCUGGGAAGAUAAUGACGGUACCAGGAGAAUAAGCCCCGGCUAACUUCGUGCCAGCAGCCGCGGUAAU
rnacentral:rRNA from 1 species